rnacentral:rRNA from 1 species
GUGUCAGCCGCCGCGGUAAUACGUAGGUGGCAAGCGUUGUCCGGAUUUACUGGGCGUAAAGGGAGCGUAGGUGGAUAUUUAAGUGGGAUGUGAAAUACCCGGGCUUAACUUGGGUGCUGCAUUCCAAACUGGAUAUCUAGAGUGCAGGAGAGGAAAGUGGAAUUCCUAGUGUAGCGGUGAAAUGCGUGAAGAUUAGGAAGAACCCCAGGGGCGAAGGCGACUUUCUGGACUGUAACUGACACUGAGGCUCGAA